rnacentral:lncRNA from 1 species
UAUGAAAGGGAAUGUUCAGUUCUGUGACUUGAAUGCAAACAUCACAAAGAAGUUCCUGAGAAUGCUUCUCUCUAGAUUUUAUAUGUCAUCCCGUUUCCAACGAAAUCCUCAAAGCUAUCCAAAUAUCCACUUUCAGAUUCCACAAAAAGAGUGUUUCAAAACUGCACUGUAAAAAGAAAGGUUCAUCUCUGUUAGUUGAAUACACACA